UUUUAAAUUAAAUAAAAUGUAAACAUAUAAUUGAAAAUGAAUCAUUUUAAGGGAAAACUUUUCUAUAAGUUUUUAAAAAGGCACCAAUCACAGUCAAUUGAAGGGGCUCCAGAUGGGCUUUAUGUAGGAGGCUGCAUUUUCGCAAGGACUUGAAAGCAGAAAUGGGGCCAGGCAUUGGCUAGUCAUGAGCGAGUGUGUGGAGGUGGAGAUUUCAGGACAUUGUUGGGAUAUGGUGAGUGAGCCGGGAUUUAGAUCCAUGAAGGGAUAUGGCUGGAGAGGAGGCUUGAGGAGACCUUGGAUUCAAGUUGUUUUUAUUGUAUUCCAUGAACAAAGAAGAGUUUAUUGAAGACUUUUGACCAAGGCAAUGACAUUAUCAUAUUAGGUUGUUUGACAAAGCAAUGAAUGUAGCCUGGAGAGAAGCAGGCUGGGACUGCAGGGCAUGCUACAGCUAUCUUCAAAGGUCUGAAGGAGGAAGCUAAAAUUACUCAGAUCAUGUAGGGCUGCGCUUUGAGGUUCUCUGGAGCAAGGCUUGUGAUGCCUGGGACAGCAGAGCUGGCAACAGCAGGCCCAGUGCCCUGAAGCCCCUGCUUCCUGCCUGUUUCUCUGGAAGUCAGCUGAGCUUCAUGG
rnacentral:lncRNA from 1 species